AUCGUUCACUCUUGCCUGCAAGUAACUCUUUUCCCAGGCAGGGCGGAAGUAGGGAGUCUUCCUGAAGGAACGCACC
rnacentral:ncRNA from 2 species